rnacentral:lncRNA from 1 species
CAGCAGAGAUACAAGUGAAAGGAUAAGACCAAAGAGAGGAGAGAUGAGGCCUGCAAGCUUGUCAAGUUCAGGUGUAUCAAAUGUGUGGCACACUCCAAUUCCUUAUCUCUUUGGAGGUUUUGGGGUAGUAAUGAUACUUAUAGCUGCUGCUCUCAUCAUCCUAGCUUGCUCUCACUGGAGAUCAACCAGAGGUGGGAGCUCAGAAUCACUGAGUCUGUCGGAGAAACCUGUGAUUGUUCACUUGGACAUGGAGCCAAGAGUUGUGGUAAUAAUGGCUGGAGACAACAAGCCUAGUUUUAUAGCAAAGCCUUUCUCCUUGGUUCAGGUUGCGCAUGAGCCAUCAGUCCAGACAAGAUCUAUCAACACAGAGCCAUGAUGGUUGACUGGUUAUGUUGCUGUAUCCAAUUUUUCUUCCUUCCUUUUCUUCCCUGUUAUGCUUCUGUAUCUUUCAUCAAUUUUGUCGUGGCAGUUCCUUACUGUAAACUUUGAGUGAAGCAUACAAAAAGGAGGACCUUUUAUCUACAAUCUGCAUGAGUAUUCAUAGAAUCUACAAUCUACAAUCUGCAUGAGUUUUGGAGUGCUUUCCCUUGCAUAUGAGCUAAACUUUUCUUCUACAGAAGAAUUCAGAAUCUAUUUGACUUGCAGAUUAAAGAUAAUUUGUUGCACCAUAGAAUAUUAUUCUUUUCAUGAUGAAACAAAUUUUCGUAUGAGCUAAACUUUUCUUCUACAGAAAUAUUCAUGAUCAGUUCGACUUGCCGAUAAAAGAUAAUUUGUUGUGCCAUCAAAGAUCAUAUUUUUCAUAAUGAAACAAAUUUUCGCAUGAUUUCUAUCAUUCGUAGGAGCAAGAUUCAUUAACUAAGCUUUUAACUUAACUAUCUGACCGGAGGAUUGAAGUGGCAAACAUAAAGAGAAGUUAGAAGAAAAAACACAAAAAAAAAGCUUAUUUCAG